rnacentral:rRNA from 1 species
GACGUAGGGCGCGAGCGUUGUCCGGAUUUAUUGGGCGUAAAGAGCUCGUAGGCGGCUUGUCGCGUCGGCUGUGAAAACCCGUGGCUCAACUGCGGGCUUGCAGCCGAUACGGGCAGGCUAGAGUUCGGUAGGGGAGACUGGAAUUCCUGGUGUAGCGGUGAAAUGCGCAGAUAUCAGGAAGAACACCUAUGGCGAAGGCAGCUCUCUGGGACGGUACUGACGCUGAGACGCGAAAGCGUGGGGAGCGAACAGG